UAAAAGUUCCCUAGGAAUACUAUUCAAUCCUUGCGAAAUAAAUUAUGUGCAAAUUGUAAACAAAAUAGAAUCGUCAAAUUCAGAUUUAUAUAUAUAGAUAUACUUAUAUAGAUUACGUCAACGAAUGCAACUAAAUAUUUUCUUUCUCACACUCUAUUGUGAAAAUUGAACUACUUUUUAAAAAUGGCCAAUGUGAGAAUCCUGAGUAAUGUAGGCAGCAAUUUGUUUGCACAAAUAACAAAAUUAUCACCGUUGAGAGCUAUAUCUGUACAACCAUCCCGAAGUAAAUAUUUUAUUAUUACUCCCAAAGAUGAUCCUCACUGGCCCGAUGCUCUACCCGAUGAAGGAAGUACAGUUUAUGCCCGAGAGUUGGCCAAUGGAAUGAUGACAUCAUUGUCGUGUUUUUUUAAAGAACCUGUCACAAUAAAUUAUCCAUUUGAAAAAGGUCCCUUAAGCCCUAGGUUCCGUGGAGAACACGCACUUAGAAGAUACCCAUCGGGAGAGGAGCGAUGUAUCGCAUGUAAGCUCUGUGAAGCAAUUUGCCCUGCUCAAGCAAUAACAAUCGAAGCAGAAGAAAGAUUAGAUGGAUCCAGAAGAACAACUCGAUAUGACAUUGAUAUGACCAAGUGUAUUUAUUGCGGAUUUUGCCAAGAAGCUUGUCCUGUGGAUGCUAUUGUUGAAGGCCCCAAUUUUGAAUUUUCAACUGAGACCCAUGAAGAGUUAUUGUACAACAAGGAGAAACUUUUGAAUAAUGGUGAUAGAUGGGAAAGUGAAAUUGCAAGCAAUAUUCAAGCUGACCAUCUAUACCGAUAAACAUGUUAUUUAUUUAGUCUUGAUUAACCUGUUUCAAUGAAUAAAAACUAUUUAGUAUUAUAAUUCAUUGUCAUCGUCGAAAACAGAAUGUCGGCAAACUGGGCAUGUGUAUACAUCAGCUUUGAAACUUCUACAAACGCAAUUCUGACAAAUAUUAUGAAGGCAUUUAGUUGUGAUAGGUUUCCAAACUAUUUCUUGACAACAAACACACGUAAAUCUAUGAGUAAAAAAACCAUAUUAAAGUACAAUAAGGUAAUAUUUCUCUAAAACGUAACUUGAACCCACCGGUAAAUGAUUAAAGUACACUAUUUCAACAUUAUUUCUCACAAGAGUAGUUAUACAGAUGGGUUCAAGCUAUCUCAUUACUGUAUUGACAUUAUUUAUCAAUAGUAUAUAAUAAUAGUGUAAAAAAUUA